rnacentral:rRNA from 1 species
GACGAACGCUGGCGGCGCGCUUAACACAUGCAAGUCGAACGGAAAGGCCUGCUUUCCCUUGUGGAUUGCGGGUACUCGAGUGGCGAACGGGUGAGUAACACGUGAGUGAUCUGCCCCCAACUUGGGUAUAAGCCUGGGAAACUGGGUCUAAUUCCCGAUAGGACUGCAGGGUGGUGCCUGUGGUGGAAAACGAUUUUCUAGUGGUUGGGGAUGAGCUCGCGGCCUAUCAGCUUGUUGGUGGGGUAAUGGCCUACCAAGGCGGCGACGGGUAGCCGGCCUGGGAGGGUGGACGGCCACAGUGGGACUGAGAUGCGGCCCAGACUCAUACGGGAGGCAGCAGUGGGGGAUAUUGAACAAUGGGCGGAAGCCUGAUGCAGCGACGCGGCGUGGGGGAUGACGGCCUUCGGGUUGUAAACUCCUUUCGACCGCGAGGAAGCCACCUGGUUGGAAGGGUGGUGACGGUAGUGGUAGAAGAAGCACCGGCUAACUACGUG